rnacentral:lncRNA from 1 species
AGACUCAUCGUCGUCACAAAGGAUUAUGCUUAUAUUGUAGAAAACCUAAGCAUACUAUUCAACAUUGUCCAAAGAAGCGACGCAAUUAUAAAAUGAAGAAUACAAAUAUCAAAGAAGAUAAUAUAUUAAAAAACAAGUUUUUCUAGCUACAUUAAAGACCAUGCGGUUGAAACCUUAUACAAUACCUAAUGAAGGUCCUAUUCUCUCC